rnacentral:rRNA from 1 species
GCCCGAUGAACCUGAAUAUCCGUUAUGGAAAAUUCAUCAUUAGAAUUGUAAUAUUUAAACAAUAUUAUAAUAAUAGUGUGCAUUUUUUCCAUAUAAGGACAUUGUAAUCUAUUAGCAUAAAUAUUUAUCAUAAAAUUAUGUCUGAUUGCUUAUUUGAAUUAUAUGCUUGGCAUUUUAACAUAAAAUAAAAGAUAUAAAUUUGAUAAAGUGCUGAUAGAUUUAUAUGAUUACAGUGCGUUAAUUUUUCGGAAUUAUAUAAUGGCAUAAUUAUCAUUGAUAUUUGUGUUUAUUAUAUGCAUUUGUAUGAUUAACAAUGCGAAAGAUUCAGGAUACUUCGGG